AUCACUAUUUAAAUCAGGAUUUUCAUACCUAUUUAAUACAAAUUGAAUUUGAAAAUUGAUAAAUGUUAAAACUAUACUCCAAAAUCCGCAGUCUAAUUAUGAUAUUACAAAACAAUAUGUUAUGUGUUAUAUUACCAUAUAUAUGUAUUAUCUCAACAUAUUAUCAUUAAAAUUAUUUAUCGACAUACCUAAAAAAAUAUUUAGAAAUUAAUAAUGAUAAUACAAGUUAUAAUUGAACAAUUAAUUAACAUUAUUUAAGAUUCCAAUAAUAUAUUUAUUAUUUAUUUAUAAGUAUGACAUGUAUAAGGUACAAAUUUAUCAAAGAUAUUUGUGUAUAGGAAAAUGUUUCAUAUAUUUUAUUAAAAGCGAAAUUCCAAUUAAAAAGAGGAAAUAUUUAUAGUAUGCGAUUCAAAUCACUUAAUUAUUAUUACUUACAAUUAUUAGGUAUAUACGUGUAAUAUGUACCUGUGUUUAGAAGAUCAAGAUAAUUUCAUUAUAAUCAUCGAGAAACUAAUAAUUUUCUGUCCGUUCUCGAUGAACAUAAUUUAUCUAUAACCUAAACCACGAUCAUUAUAUCUAUAUUAUCACAUAACUAGAAAAGAAAACUGUUCGUUAACUUAUCUAAUAAAUCUUAUUUAUGACGCUUGAUAAUAAAUUUUUAAAUUUUCUUUCAGCCAAAGUCAGUAAUUAACGACUCUAUCUUUGAAAAAAUAAAUUAUCAAUUCUUUCCUUCUGUAUUUAUUCCGUUACACGUAUAAUAGACCGAAGAAUUAUGCCGUACAGUCGUUUUUCACGUUUCACUAUUUCAUACAAAGACAAGUCAUACGAUACGGUAAUAAUUUAAGUGGUAAAGAGCAACGAUUCGUAAUACAUACGAAUUACUCGUCGAGCUUGCUCGUAAAGCUAUCCGUUUUCUAGCAUUAGCAUUUUCAACACGUGGCUGUCUCGUGAAGAGGCACGGAGUGUGAUAAAGUCAUCCUAAACUGGAGCACCUCCACCCCAUGCAGGUGCACGCACGUAUGCAUACACGUCCCAAAACUCCCAAAGAGUGCGGGCUCUAAUUUUAGUUGGUGAAGCGUCAAAAUAAGCGUAAGUCACCCGGGGGCCUUGUAAGGCUAGGGAGGCAAUCCCGGGGACCCCCGGCAUGCACUCCCCGACAGCCACGGCAUCCACGUACCGACAACUCUAUUUUUGUUAUUUCUUUAUUUGUAGCGCAGUUUUAUCGCUCGUCUUGGGUUACGGAUUUUCCUUCGAACAAGAGUCUAUAAUCGACCGUCUUCGAACUCGAAAGAUGUGAGAGAUGUUUUUGUUGUGGGAUUAAAGUACGGUCAUUGAUGCUGGAGAUAAUUACUUUGACUGAUGUCGAAACGAGUAAUAGAUAAAUAUUAGGAUUUGCUGUGAUCUUCUAAUUGGCUCGUAAUGUCUUCGUAAAUUGUUAUGGCUGAACAGGUGUAGCCUGUAGAUCUAUUUCUGGAUCGAAGUAUCGUCGGUUCUUAAUAUAGAGUAACUAAUCCUCUUGAAGAUUUAACGCUUACAUUAUAUCUAAUUCUCAGUGUCAUAUAAAUAAUAAUAAUAAUAAUGAUAAGCGAACAGAGAAUUAUUCAUAAUUUUUCUUAAUUACUGCGUAACUCUAUAGUCUGUUGAAAGAAAUGAAAAUAUGUAUAGUCACUUAAAGUUGCACACAAACUGGCCAGCUGCCAGAGCACACUGUAGUUAAAUGUCAUGAGAACCCAAAACACAAUAAUUCUCUUGAACUUUAUCUAUAAAAUCGUAAUUUGUACCCGUCCAUUAUGUCAUUGUUUUGAGUAACCGCCAGAAAUAUCACGUACGAUAAGGUUCACAUAAUCCGACAUUGAAUUAUUAUAUAAUACAGUUUUAUUAUCAUCAAUUAUAUGAUAUAAUAAGAACAAUACGCCAGGCAGCAAUAUGAGCCGACGUUGAUGCGCCUGGUCAUGGUUUCCCAUAUCAUAUACUUCACUCUCGUCGAUUACCACCCCGUGCGUAUCGCAAAUGCCAAAUUACGUGCGCUUACGAUUUCAAGAAAGCCUUUGUAUCUGUAUGUGUAUGUGUGCGUGUCUGUACGAUACAUGUAAGUCAGCGUAUACAUAAUGACAAGGCCGAGAAGGGCUUGUUGCAAUGGCCGAGGAGAUUAUUAUCAAUAAAUUAAUUAACGUUAAAAUAACAAACAGUCAUGUUGUACAAACUAAAAAGUAAAGUACAGUCUGAUAAAUGUGUAGAAUAAAGGCACUUCAGUAAUUUUCCUUUCCCAAA